rnacentral:rRNA from 1 species
GAUGAACGCUGGCGGCGUGCUUAACACAUGCAAGUCGAACGAAGCACCUUGACUGAGACCUUCGGGUGGAUUUUGAGGUGACUGAGUGGCGGACGGGUGAGUAACGCGUGGGUAACCUGCCUUACAGAGGGGGAUAACAGUUGGAAACGGCUGCUAAUACCGCAUAAGCGCACAGGGUCGCAUGACCCAGUGUGAAAAACUCAGGUGCUGUAAGAUGGACCCGCGUUGGAUUAGCUAGUUGGCAGGGUAACGCCUACCAAGGCGACGAUCCAUAGCCGGCCUGAGAGGGUGACCGGCCACAUUGGGACUGAGACACGGCCCAAACUCCUACGGGAGCAGCAGUAGGGAAUCUUCCACAAUGGACGCAAGUCUGAUGGAGCAACGCCGCGUGAGUGAAGAAGGUUUUCGGAUCGUAAAGC